AUACGUAGGUCCCGAGCGUUGUCCGGAUUUAUUGGGCGUAAAGCGAGCGCAGGCGGUUUGAUAAGUCUGAAGUUAAAGGCUGUGGCUCAACCAUAGUUCGCUUUGGAAACUGUCAAACUUGAGUGCAGAAGGGGAGAGCGGAAUUCCAUGUGUAGCGGUGAAAUGCGUAGAUAUAUGGAGGAACACCGGUGGCGAAAGCGGCUCUCUGGUCUGUAACUGACGCUGAGGCUCGAAAGCGUGGGGAGCGAACAGGAUUAGAUACCCUGGUAGUCCACGCCGUAAACGAUGAGUGCUAGGUGUUGGAUCCUUUCCGGGAUUCAGUGCCGCAGCUAACGCAUUAAGCACUCCGCCUGGGGAAUACGACCGCAAGGUUGAA
rnacentral:rRNA from 1 species